GAAAUGCAGUGUGUCUGGAUGGAAUGCCAGGAGACCUGGAUCUUAAUUCUAGCACUGGCGGAUGUUAAUGAUCAGGUCUGCAGUGAUGGAGUGAUCCAUCUUAUAGUCAGUUCCACAGCUCAAUUAUAACUGAACUGAUGUGCUUUUCCCACUCUGUGCCUGUCUCUGGAUGUAGAACCCUGUGAUGAUCUUCCUGAUCAGGUAGGAAAGCCCUCUCUCCCUAAAA
rnacentral:lncRNA from 12 species